AGAGAUUAUCUUCAACCAUCAUUUCCUAAUAAAUGCCAAAAAGGACUCAAAAUAAGGAAGAAUCAUGUUUAAUUAGGAUUAUUUAUAACAGUUAAUAAUUUAGUAACUUUUUUAUAAAGCAUCCAUUAUUUUAUCUUUCGUAUAUAUACAACUAUGAGACUCAGUUUGCUCUGCAUUUGAAAAUAUUUUCUCAUUUUCUGACGGUUUACAUGGUGAGUGCAAUGGAGUAGAUGGUUUUAUAUGAAUUCAUCAGACUUUCUAAUUCAGGCUGAGUUAUGGGUUUUUAGACUUUUCCAUCUACAACUUACUUUCAGUUUAGGUGAUUUCAAAGAAAUUCAGUAGACCUUCCAUGCAACUUUCUGAAGCAGUUAAUCUCUCACUUGAACCUGUUGUGGAAUAUAUUCUACAUCCUGUAGGUCUCUAAGUUGUGUUGUUACAUAAGCAAAUUUAUAUAUACCAAAGCUUAUGAAAAGCAGCAAUUGGUGAACACCAUUAGCAUAUAAACACUUUAAAUAAUUUUUUAAAGUCUCUUAAGGAUCCCAAAUUCUACCAUUUUUUUCUCCAAGAUCUUUUAUGCCAUCAGCUUUUUGUUUUGUUCCCCUGAAUUUUAUCCCCAAAGAAAAGUUCUGGGUUAGGGAAAGAGAGUUUUCAUUGAGGAGGAAGUGCACCAGUUCAGUUGAUAGCAAAACUCUUACCCAUGCUACUUAGACCCUCUGUUUUUCUACUACUACUUUAGUGCUCCAUCCAGAAAGGCCAGAGCUUAUUGCAGAAUAAAUAUGCAGUACCUAGAGGAUUGGUACAGAGUUUUUAUGUUUAUCAAAAUAUGGGGAGAAGGGCUUCUAUUUUCUUUCUAAUUCCUUGGAUUGGAAUAUAGACAGAUCCAAACCAUCUGUUGGAAAAAAACUUGCAAUUUAAUAAUAAACCUGAGCCAAACUUAUUAGUUGGCAUCACAGAUUAAGAAUAAAAAUUCAGUGCUUUAAAGGCAAUUGUUUCUCAAAAAACAAAAAACAACAAAAAACCAAACCAAACCAACAACUGAAACAAAACCAAACCCAACACACCAACAACAAAAAACCAAAACAAAACACACCACUGGAUAUUGUGACAUAAGUAAUGUGUGAUCAAAAUCACAACCCAAACAAAAAUUAUGCUGCAUACAGAGAGGAAGCAACACUUUGCUUAGGAAGAUAAGAGUGAGGAAAAUGACUUCAAAGUUUGGGAAUGAAGGUGUAAGUUAAGAAACUACAAAGAGGGUUCUUAUGGAUGUCAUGAUGUAACACUGCGGGAGGCAGAGAGCAGCCUGCAGAUCAAGUCAUGAGUUUGUGUGUUUUACAAAAGUGUGUCCUGUGUUAGUAUAAGUUGUAAAAUAAUACUGUACCUGCUUGAUGGCUUUAGCUUUUUUUAACUCCUGAUCUGAUCUGUCAUUGAAAAGAUUUAGGUCAUUUAUCUUGCUCAUCAUACUGCUUGUUUCUUCUCCUGUCUUAUCCAUUGCUCUCUUGAGGAAAUGGACAUCAUUCUGUUUCCAAGUGAAGAAACCUGAUCAAGGGUAUAUAUAGCAGGUCUCUCUCUGUACCAGAAUGAGAAACUGGAAGGUCAGAAGUUGUCAGCUGAACCGAAAGUCAACCUCUGGCAAGAUAUACAUAUAUGAAGGAUAUUUAUUCCACUUAAUGAACUGAUCUGAGGCAUCAUAGAAGAAAAUUUCUCCCUCACAAACUAAGGCUCAGUUCUUAGAUCCUUUAUCCUGCAUAUGAAUUUACAAAUGGCCCCACAUGACUCUGAAGAGACUUCCUGACACAAAUUUGGGAGAAUCUGGAUCCAGCCGAAUACAAGGAUACCUUCAUCCUGCUACCCAUUCGCCAUUGGCGAUUAUAAACAGACAUAAUGAGAAGACAGCAAAUAAAAAAAUAAACACAAAUUAUUCAUGGAGAGAAAAAGGGAUGGUUCCAUUAAACAGAAAACCAGCUGUAAUUCAAUAGCAUUACUUUUGUGUUUGCCUAAAGCAAAUUUUUUAUGCUGAAAUCAUGCCCCAAGUUUAUCUCAUGCAGAGAAGAUUUGCCAUCAAAAAUGUCUUUUCUAUACCGUAAAGAAAAUACCUGUGAGACUUAAUGAUAUAGGUGUGUGGCUGUGUAUCUGGCAUUAAGAACAUUAAAAACAGAAGUCUUUCAAUACCUAGCUCAUAUUUGCUAAGUCUUGACCAGUCUAUGCACGGAGAUACUCAGUGUCACUCUACUUGCCUACACAGGGAAAAGCACACCUAGAUCAUCCAUUAUUAUUUAUAACUUUUAAUUAUAAUUAGCAAUUCUUAACUUAUAUUAUUUCUGUAAGUGCAAGCGAGGACAAAUUAUAAAAUCUAAUUUCAAUACUGGUGUUCUCUUGCAAAAGUUUUAAACCUUACUUCAUGACU